GAAACACAUCACAUGCUCAAUUGUACCUUUUAGUUCAUUUCUCUUACUAUUAUACAUAUUUGCUAAUUUCUUCUUCUAUUAUAGCAAAAAUGGAAAUAGGUUUUGUUAACGAAAAUGAUUGCAUAAAAGUUGAAAUCUUAUGCAAAAAGCUCAUAAAGCCAUCUUCACCUACACCCUCUCAGAAUCAACGUUACAAGCUCUCUUUCUUUGAUCAAAUUGCUGAGAGAGAGCACAUUCCUGUUGUUCUUUUCUAUCCUUAUAAUAAUAUUAAUAGCCACACUAUCGAUGAACGUCUUGAGAAAUCCCUUUCUGAUGUAUUAACUCAUGUUUAUCCAGCAGCAGGAAGGUAUGACGACAACGCUGAAUGUUCGAUUCUCUGUCUUGAUCAAGGUGUUUCCUAUACCAAAGCCAAGGUCAAUUGUAAGCUUGGUAAUUUCUUAGAGAAAACACGCAAGGAUUUGAGUGUUGCAACUUUAUUUGGGCCACAUGAAAAUAAGAACAUGGAUCAAAAUAAUUUUAUGGUAUCGCCAAUUGUGAUUAUUCAAGUAACUAAAUUUGAAUGUGGUGGCCUAGCUUUAUCAUUCAGUGUUUCACACCCUGCAAUGGAUGGUUUCACAGGUUUGCAAUUUCUAUUUGGUUGGGGAAAAGUGUGUAGAUUGGGAACUCCCAUCGAUAAGAUUCAUUUCCUAAGCUUCAAUUUAGGUAAUAUUUUCCCAACAAGAGAUACAUCAGCUCUUUUCAACUCAGCCGACGUAGUAAAUAGAGAAGAAAAUAUUGUUGUUAAGAGAUUCGUUGUUCGUGAAGCUGCUCUAUCAAGGCUCAAAAAACAAUGCAUUGAUGAAUCAGGCGGAGCUUUGACUUUUCAACCUUCAAGGGUUGAAAUAGUUACAGCAAUCCUAUGGAGGGCUUUUAUCCGCGCUUCAGCAGCUAGAAAUGGGUUUGUUAGACCUUCUCUAAUGGACUUCCCAUUGAAUUUACGCUCUAAAUCAUCUUUACCUCAAGUAAAAACCUCUAUGGGAAAUUUCAGAAUCGAUGUUCCAAUAAAAUUCAUUCCAGGGGAGACUAAGAUGGAAUUACACAACUUCAUAACAUUAAUUAGAAAUACUAUGAAUAAAGUUGUUGCUUCAUUUGCCAAACCUUCACCAGAUGAAAUAGUGUCAACAUUGGUGAAUAUAUAUAAUCAAAGUUUUACAUCACCAGAAUGGGGAGGUAAUAAUGAAAUUGACAAAGUGGCAUGUUCAAGUUUAUGCAAGUUCCCUUUGCAGGAUAUCGAUUUUGGUUUGGGAAAACCAUCGUUAGUAUAUUUUGGUUUGAAAGAUAUGGAAAUAUUUUGGUUAUAUGAUACAGAUUGUCACACUAGUGAAAUUGGUGUGCAAUUGGACUUGAAGGAAAGUACCAUGCAAUUAUUUGAGUGUGACAACGAUAUCAAAGCUCUCAUGUUUAUACGCGAUGCAAAACUUUGAUAACAUUUCAUUUUAAUUUUUUCAUUAUGUACUUGUUUUAUUUGUAAUAUGUUGUUAUAAUUAUUUUCUUCUUGUCUCUA